UGCUGAUUGUGUGAUGAUAAUGGGUUCGUCGAAGACGUUCCUUGUCUCCUGUGGUAUUGAUGCUUGUCAUUGUAACCUUGAUUGACAUCGGGGAGGAGGGGUUUAGGGAACCGUGGGAUUUCAUCGAUUCAUGGCUUACGACGAGCAUUCGCAUGACGUCUGCUCUGUCUUUUGAGAUCGGCUGACAUGUAUGUUGCAAUUGCUAAAGCAGAUCCGUAUUAGCUCUGUUUCUGGCACAAUGCAGCUGUUCUCUUCCCUUUCAGUUGCUUUUUGUUCCCCUUCUAUUGUCUAUGACCACGGCGCGAUACUAAUCCGAUGCGCCUCCUCAGAUUCCGGCAUGGAAUCUUGUUCGAUCUGCUCCCGCAUUCUUCUGGCAGUCGGAAGAUGCCGCGUUACCAUCUGAGGAAGGUGAGAAAAACUAUCGAUCUUGCAAAUGCGUUAUACGUUCUCUCACCUUCAAAGUUCAUUGGAAUUUUUGGCUUUGAUUCCUUCUCCAAGUCGAUGCAAUUGCGUAAAUUCCCUCUUGCUGGCAGAGAGAGCUAGUGUGAGUAGAUCAAGGGAGCAUGAUUCUGAAGGAGUUUCCUUAUUUUUGGAUUGCCUAUCAGCAAGAGAACUGUUGCCAUCUUCUACUGUCUCCGUUUCUUCUGUUGUUUGAGACUGACUUGAUUAUUCAAACUUUUCGGUUGAUCGAAGCAUAGAGAAUUAACCUGGUCGCUCAAGAUUGUCUCUCGAUGGAGGCAGCAAAGUCAGUACUUUUGACUCUAAAAUGUCAAUUUGACCCUCUUAAUGUCAUCACAAAUCAAGCUAUACCAUGGGGCAAGAUUAGAUUUACUAAUAAGCUAGUCCAAGGGCAUCUAGCUGUGGAAGAAAAGAAAGAGAAAACAUGUUGCUGGACUAGUACCCAAGGUUGUUCAAAACUAUUUUGUGAGAGUAGUAUAAUUUCUAUCUGUUCUGCGGGCUUCUUGAUAAGCCUUAAGUUAUUUAAUUCGUUGUGGUGCCAAUAUUAAACAAGUUGUAGAGCUGCUUCAUGUUCAUGUUAUCUAAUUCUUGGGCUGAUAUUAUCUUCUGAAGUUGCAUGAAGAUUAUGAUAGAGCUGGCCAGGAUACCGAUGAAUGGAAAGCCAGGGAGAUUGUGAAGGACAUAGCAAGCCAGGGAGUUAUUAUUUCAAGAGUUCACUGUCUCUUUUUUGCAUGAACUUUCAAUGAUUCUCCUAGCAAUUUUUUCUAGUGCUUUUUUGAUGUGAUUUGAAUUGUUAUCAAUAUGUAGCUUUAGGGUUACCCAAUUCCAUUUCUUUUUCUCAGGUUAGAAGAACAUGAGAUGCUUGUAAUAGGCUUGGAGGAAGGCCUAUGAAAUAUUAAUAUCAUACUUGUCUGUGUCACAACAUUCUGACUUUUUUUUGCUAAAUUAAACUGAAGUAUUAUUUUAGUUGUCGGGCACCUGAUGACCUGAGUUUCUCCCUUGUUGGACUUUGAAGCUUUUGCAAAACGUUAAAUAAUUAAUAGUGUUUGAUUUACAAGGUCAUGGAUUUUAUUUAUCUUCCUAUGUUUUGUAUAAUUAUUUGAUUGGGGAACACUGGAGUAUUCUCCUUUGAUUAGGAAGUCAAGAGGUUGCAGACGUUAAGCAAUGUCUUCAUCUUAUUGCCAUCUCCUGAAGAUGACGAAUUUCAAUAUUUUGUUAUUAUUGUUCUUUUGCUGUUUGAUUUUGUCAGAACUUGGAAGGACAAGAUUGGCUUGCAUUGAUUGCCAGCCCAUUUUGUGUUUGUUAUGGCACUGACUGGUUUUAUGCUUUUACUAGUAUGACUUCGGUGGUGUUUCUAAUCUCAUCAUCUCAUGUGGGUGAAUUGAGUAAAAGACCUUGCAGCAUGUUUAUUGUUUUGGAAGUUUUGAAUUCCAGUUUCUUCCUGUGGCUACCUCUGGAUGCAGCCGGGUGACUGAGACACUGGGUGCAGCCAUCACCGCCUGGAGAUGUAGUCUGGGCAUCAGACCUCAUCCAACCCAAGUGAGUGGCUCUUACAGGUCUCCCAAAGCCUUCGGUCGAGAUUUCCUGACCCAUUGAAGGUGUGGCAUUAAACAUAAGUAUCUGUUGCACUAUGCAUCAGCAGCUCUCUUAUGAAGAGCAGGGCAAAAUGGAUGAUUUCACAGUGCCAUCGCUCAUGAGGGCAGGGAUGGCCAUGGAGUCUCAAGAAAACGUGAAUCGUCGUCCUCAUCAUCAUCAACAUCCUUCAGACGGAACAGAAUUGGCAAUAUCAUCUUUUGAGGGUAUGUGCAUAUGUAUACAACCAUUGCCAAUGCGUUGGACUUGAGAUCAGACAAAAAAAUAGGAUUCAUGCGUCAGAACCCUAAUCACUGUGGCCUCUUUUCUUCAAUGCGUAACCAAAAGGGACUUCAAGCCUCAUUUCAUACUUUUCCCAUUUGGGACCUUUAGACUGUAUCUUGUAUCAGUGAGACCCAAUAGGACCCCUGUGGUUUUCUGUCAAGUUGUACUCUUGACACUUGUUUAAGAAUAUGACACAAGAGCCUAUGGCACUGUGGCCUUCA